GGUUGUGGCUCAGUGGAAGAGCACUUGCCUAGCAUGUGUGAGACACUGGGUUUGAUCCUCAGCACCA
rnacentral:tRNA from 1 species